rnacentral:lncRNA from 1 species
CUGAUGCAGCCGAGGCUUCUAUGUGCUUGCCUGCAGCGUUUGACCUCUUGCACGUUGGCUAACUACCAUGAAAAGAGCGAGCCCCAAGCAACCACUGGUGUCAGAACAAGAGACCUCAACCCGACCUGCCACUUGGAGGAGAGCCGCCUCAGCCAGCUCACACACCGCAUUUCUUGGGUGACUUCUAAAUCCCUAAUACUGGGAAAACUGCUGUCUUGGAUACUGUCAAUCAUCUCCAAGGAAUGGACAUGGUACCCAGAGGCCUGACCACACAACCAGCCACUUCCCACAAUUGCAGCCAAUUUUACAAAGUUCCCAGGUCAGAUGUGGGCCAAAGAAAAGAACAAAUUAAAAUCACACGGCUGCUUUUUGUUUGUUUUUGCCUUAAAUUACUUGG